GACGAACGCUGGCGGCGUGCUUAACACAUGCAAGUCGAACGGAAAGGCCCUGCUUUUGUGGGGUGCUCGAGUGGCGAACGGGUGAGUAACACGUGAGUAACCUGCCCUUGACUUUGGGAUAACUUCAGGAAACUGGGGCUAAUACCGGAUAGGAGCUCCUGCUGCAUGGUGGGGGUUGGAAAGUUUCGGCGGUUGGGGAUGGACUCGCGGCUUAUCAGCUUGUUGGUGGGGUAGUGGCUUACCAAGGCUUUGACGGGUAGCCGGCCUGAGAGGGUGACCGGCCACAUUGGGACUGAGAUACGGCCCAGACUCCUACGGGAGGCAGCAGUGGAGAAUAUUGAACAAUGGGCGGAAGCCUGAUGCAGCAACGCCGCGUGCGGGAUGACGGCCUUCGGGUUGUAAACCGCUUUCGCCUGUGACGAAGCGUGAGUGACGGUAAUGGGUAAAGAAGCACCGGCUAACUACGUG
rnacentral:rRNA from 1 species